GCCCAGGUGGCGAAAUUGGUAGACGCGCAAGCUUGAGGGGCUUGUGUCUUUCGAGAUGUGCGGGUUCGACUCCCGCCCUGGGCA
rnacentral:tRNA from 1 species